rnacentral:rRNA from 1 species
UGGGGAAUAUUGCGCAAUGGGGGGAACCCUGACGCAGCCAUGCCGCGUGAAUGAAGAAGGCCUUAGGGUUGUAAAGUUCUUUCGGUAUUGAGGAAGGUUGACGUGUUAAUAGCACAUCAAAUUGACGUUAAAUACAGAAGAAGCACCGGCUAACUCCGUGCCAGCAGCCGCGGUAAUACGGAGGGUGCGGGCGUUAAUCGGAAUAACUGGGCGUAAAGGGCACGCAGGCGGUUAUUUAAGUGAGGUGUGAAAGCCCCGGGCUUAACCUGGGAAUUGCAUUUCAGACUGGGUAACUAGAGUACUUUAGGGAGGGGUAGAAUUCCACGUGUAGCGGUGAAAUGCGUAGAGAUGUGGAGGAAUACCGAAGGCGAAGGCAGCCCCUUGGGAAUGUACUGACGCUCAUGUGCGAAAGCGUGGGGAGCAAACAGGAUUAGAUACCCUGGUAGUCCACGCUGUAAACGCUGUCGAUUUGGGGGUUGGGGUUUAACUCUGGCGCCCGUAGCUAACGUGAUAAAUCGACCGCCUGGGGAGUACGGCCGCAAGGUUA